AUUGAAAAUUCUAUACAGAGCCUGAUAAAAAAGAAAACAAAGCCCUUAAUGAUGCCUGUAGUAUGGAAAGCAGGCAAAUGUCCGCUCCUUUGAGUGCUUAUUCCUACAUGGUGAGACCUUACAGAGCCAACCAAGUGACCCACAAUUACCCGGCACAGCAGAGCUGCACAUGGGCUUCCAUGUGAAUGCACUCAUCUGCACCAGAUACCUGCUGGCAUCAGCAGUCCUUACACACAGCAAAGGAGAGCAUCACACCAGCUUACACCACGCUCUGGGCCUGCAGGUACUGCUGCUUCUUUGUUAGGAAUAAAAAGGAUGAGACCAAAAUUGACCAGUUGCUUUUGGGUUUGACCUUCAUUAUCAAACAGGGAAUGCUGAGUUGCAUAGUGUGCACACUGCAGAAGAUGAGUUAUUUGAACAGAGGAUACCAGAGCCUUGACUGCACUGUGUUAGGGCAGUGACAGCACACGGGGAUAUGCCAGACCCAGAGCAUAGCCCAGGUGCAGAGACUGCAUCAAAGCCCUGAGCAGCUCUGAUAUCCAUUUCCAGAGCUCUGGGCAGAGCGCGGAGAUGUUACGGCCAUUCGGACAGCUGCAAAUUAUUUGUUCAUUCAUUCAUUUUCCGUGGGCAAAAAUCCCAAAUCAACCCGGAAAGAAAACCCACCCUGGGACACCAGCCCAAGCUGUGGGUGUCAAGAUUCGCUGCUGCGGGAGCAGAAAGGCACUUUGUGCAGCCACACACCUCAUAAAGAGAGGACAGGAAAUUUCAUGGGAGCAAAGACAAUGGCCUAAUUUUUUCCUGCCAGUGUCAAAACAAUGCUCUCGAAGAGCCAGAAGCCAUGGUCUGUGAGAACUAAAUUGGUGGUCCCCAUCCGGUUGCUCUGGAAUAACAGCCCUGUCACCACAUGGCACAGAGCAGCAGUGCCAGCGCAGUCCCAUGAGCCACCAAAGGCUGUGCAAGGAGAAGUGGGAGUGGGGCUUCUGGCCCUGUAUUGCUGGGCAGGGCAAUGAUGGGGCAGGGACUGAGCAAGGAUGGCUGUCCCACUCCAGGGAAACCACAGCAAUGGUCAGAAACAGGAGUUUUUGGAAAUGAGGCAUUACCUCUAGGAACCACGGAGCUCAGCAAGUUGUAUCUCGCAUGGAAAGGAGCUGAUUAAAGCAGUAAGUUUGUUGCUGCUUGAUGACAGCAGCUCAAACCCUUCAAUAUCCCACUGCUGGUAGCCAGAGGCAGGAGUUCUGGCAGAACCAAGGCCCUGUGAGGUGACAAAUCUGAAUACCAGUGUGUUGGGACACCAAGCAAGUAGAGAAGUGAGUGAAAACAAAGGCUUUUAAGCAAACUUAUCUUGUUCCCACCCUGUCUGGUAUGAAAGAAGCUAAAGACACAGGGCAAGUUUUCCUCAAAAUGUCACAUAUUUAGUUGAAUCAGUUUAAGGACAGAAGGUUCAGAAAUGAUAGGAAAACUCCACUCAGCCAACUCUAAAGUGUCCCAUCACUGCUGCUGUGAAGUCUCUCCCAGACUGACCAAAGCAAACUGGAUCUCAUGUUAUUCUGCUCCCUGUGCCCACCAGGGCCAUGCAGUGCCACACAGUGCCGCCGGCCGGCAGUGCACCAGCAUGGCAGUGGUGGCCAUACAGAAAUCAGGGUCCAAAUUUCCUGGCACAUGCAAAAACAAACCCAAAGAAUUGGAUCCCAAGGGACAGUUUUAAUGAAGUGGCGGCUCAGCGCCACUCAGAAUACUACAAAAAAUCCCAGAAAGUAGCAUGCAAUUAUGCAUCUACAAACACCAUUUAGGCUGAUGACUCAAAAUAUUCAUUGAUUUGAAAUACAUUGCCUGAAUGCAUUUUGCAUAACAUUGGUGUAUAUUUGUGUGUAUAAUAUUUGUUAGACUUACAAAUACAUGGAGAAGGCACAGGUAUACAUAUCCACUUCUAGGAACGAAUGGCUAAGUGGCAGAGCCAUUCUUUCACAUGGGCAAAGCAAAGGUUUCACUGCUUUUAUUUCAUUUUAAUCUUAUACAAGUAAUGCUUUAGGAAAUGUUCAUUAUCACCAACGCUCUCAUCGUGGUCUCAAGUCUGUAAUGCCACGAAGGAAGCCUCCGCUGCACAGAACUGACUCUACCGGGUUGCUGAAGCUGAAGUUCCCUGAGUAUUCCUCUCCAUCAAAGACAUUAUGAGUAAUAAGAGUAGCUGCAAUUGUGGCUUUUUAGAAAGUGCUCUUAGCAGUGUGUUCUAGAAAGGCCAUUUUAAAGGUCACAUUGCUGAGCCCGUGGCGCGCUGCCUUGGCGAGGUGGUACGAAGUGAGUGCGUUUCAGCUGGCAUCUGGUUUAGACUAUAUUUUCAUCUGUGGAAAUUGAAAAAUUCUUGGAAGAACUCCACAGUCUACAAAAAAAAAAAAUGUUCUUCUUGAAAACAAGUUAUGAGUUAAUGAUAAUUCCACUCGGGGCAGGAAGGAAGGGCUUAGGCUGGACAGCCCCGGGUGGCUGGGAGGACGCUAACCACGGC
ensembl:lncRNA